GCUCUUGUAGCUUAGUGGGUUAGAGUACCCGUUUAGUAAGCGGGAGGUCUUGAGUUCGACUCUCAACAAGAGCA